rnacentral:lncRNA from 1 species
GGGAAGACCAACAUCACUUUCACUGGCUGCUCAUCUGCUAAGGCAGUAGGUUGCUGAUUUCUCUGUGUUCCUCUGAGCCACAGAGAAGAAAAGAACUGGAGAGAAAAGCGUGGCACGGUGGUAGCUCCAGAGAAGCAGCCUAUGUACCCCCAGCUGGGAGCGGCAGGGAUGAGUGAGUUUCCUGGGACACUACGUUAUGAAGCCUGACUUGUGCUAUCUUGCCUGUACCCCAACCAAGAUGGCUGCCCUUGGGGGAGAGGACCCCUGCAGUAGUAGGAGGGCAGCAGGAAGAGUGGGAAAAGUUCCAACUGAAGGCAGAGCCCGAGUCACGGAGCUGAGAUGUGGGACACUGAGCUAACAUCUGAGCAGCAAUAAGAGGACAGCAUCUGUAUCCAGCUGAGCAGAGAGGUGUUCAUUCACCUUCCCUGUGACCCCAGUGCUUCCUCUCUGUCCCCAACCUUUGCGGGAGACAGGUUGAUCCCAGAUGAGAAAGAGGCAGAAGGAGAAAAAGGACAGAAUGCCCUCUAUCUCUUCUCUCCCUUCAGGUGCUUUAGAGAAGGGUCCAGAUGCUCUAGGUGAAAGAGAGAUUUAAAUCAAGUUUGAGAUUCAGUUUUUGAACUGGAUUACUCUGAAAGCUUAUGGAGGUUGAACAUUGUGAUGGGACAGGAAAAGGAGGUUCUACCUGGCAUGGUUGAAAUCAGC